AGUACAAGCAUAGCAGCAAAGUGAGAAGGACCGCACAGACAACGAAAACGCGGCUUGAACCGCGUCGAAGGAUCUUAUACAUGGUACGAAAGUUGGAUUCGCUUCGGGGCGGGUGUUCCUCGAUUUCGAUUCACCUGGUGCCGCGAUAUUGGCUCGAUCCCGUGUCGGUUAUGCUCGACAAUCGCUCCCCGACUUUGCCGCUGUCGCCUGUCGACUUCAUGAGAUACUUUGGCGCCGACACGAUCUGAAAGAAGAGAAAUCGAACGAAAUUAAUAUAUUUUGGAUAUAAAGUACGUGAAAUAUGUUAAAAUAUAGGAUGUUGUGAAUAUAUGUCUAACGAGUUAAAGUUUAAAAUCAUCAACUUUUUCUUCGAAAAAUACACGAAUCUAUAAGUUAGGUUAGAAUUUUACCUCGAAACAUUUUUUCGUGAAAAAUCUAUCGACAAGUAUCGAUUACAGAUAGACGAUUUAUCGGACACGGUCGCCCCGAUAUAUUAUUGCGAGGAAUAUCGAGACUCGAAAAGCGAGAUCGAAUGGUAUCGAAUAAAAGAAGAGGACGAGUGGCACGAUAUUGAAAAGAGUGAACCGUUCACGACAAUCAGAAGCAUUUGAAAAGUUCGAAGGAUGAAAAUAAUUAUCGUUGGGGAUAGAGAAGGAUUGGAGAAGUCGUAAAAAUUUUAAGAACACGUGUAUCCACCACACUGAAAUGAGCGAGAGGAAAUGAGGACAAGGAAAGAGCGAUCCAAUUCCGAUGAGAACAAUAAAUACGACCUGGUGAACCAGAGACACGGUUUCCCAGAAACCUUCUGUCUCUCGACGUAAGGUCGGUUCGCACGCGAUAAUCGAUCGUACCUGUCACCACCGACCCUGGCUGGAGAACGAGCCGCGAUUUACACACUGAAAACUCGAAUAUCGAUUUGCCUCUCGUUUGGGUUGAUAUUGAAAUUGCAAUCGUUAGAAGAUAAAUAAAUAAAUUCGCGAUUCAAUUUCUUCUCUUAUUUUUAUACAUCUAUAAUUUUUUUUUAGUAACAAAC